UACGGGGGGGGCAAGCGUUGUUCGGAAUUACUGGGCGUAAAGGGCUCGUAGGUGGCCAACUAAGUCAGACGUGAAAUCCCUCGGCUUAACCGGGGAACUGCGUCUGAUACUGGAUGGCUUGAGUUCGGGAGAGGGAUGCGGAAUUCCGGUGUAGCAGUGAAAUGCGUAGAUAUCGGAAGGAACAUCAGUGGCGAAGGCGGCCUUCUGGACAGAUACUGACACUGAGGCACGAAAGCGUGGGGAGCAAACAGG
rnacentral:rRNA from 1 species